GACGAACGCUGGCGGCGUGCCUAAUACAUGCAAGUCGAGCGAAUCUGAUGGGAGCUUGCUCCUUGAUGAUUAGCGGCGGACGGGUGAGUAACACGUGGGUAACCUGCCUGUAAGACUGGGAUAACUCCGGGAAACCGGGGCUAAUACCGGAUAACUUUUUUCUUCGCAUGAGGGAGAAUUGAAAGAUGGCUUCGGCUAUCACUUACAGAUGGACCCGCGGCGCAUUAGCUAGUUGGUGAGGUAACGGCUCACCAAGGCGACGAUGCGUAGCCGACUUGAGAGGGUGAUCGGCCACACUGGGACUGAGACACGGCCCAGACUCCUACGGGAGGCAGCAGUAGGGAAUCUUCCGCAAUGGACGAAAGCCUGACGGAGCAACGCCGCGUGAGUGAUGAAGGUUUUCGGAUCGUAAAACUCUGUUGUUAGGGAAGAACAAGUAUCGUUCGAAUAGGGCGGUACCUUGACGGUACCUAACCAGAAAGCCACGGCUAACUACGUG
rnacentral:rRNA from 1 species